rnacentral:rRNA from 1 species
UACGUAGGGGGCUAGCGUUGUCCGGAAUCAUUGGGCGUAAAGCGCGUGUAGGCGGUCCGGUAAGUCCGCUGUGAAAGUCGGGGGCUCAACCCUCGGAUGCCGGUGGAUACUGUCGGGCUUGAGUGCGGAAGAGGCGAGUGGAAUUCCUGGUGUAGCGGUGAAAUGCGCAGAUAUCAGGAGGAACACCAAUUGCGAAGGCAGCUCGCUGGGACGUUACUGACGCUGAUGCGCGAAAGCGUGGGGAGCAAACAGG